UGGCGACGAGUGGCGAACGGGUGAGUAAUGCAUCGGAACGUGCCCAGUAGUGGGGGAUAGCUCGGCGAAAGCCGGAUUAAUACCGCAUACGCCCUAAGGGGGAAAGGGGGGGAUCGCAAGACCUCUCACUAUUGGAGCGGCCGAUGGCUGAUUAGCUAGUUGGUGGGGUAAAGGCCUACCAAGGCUACGAUCAGUCGCUGGUCUGAGAGGACGACCAGCCACACUGGGACUGAGACACGGCCCAGACUCC
rnacentral:rRNA from 1 species